rnacentral:rRNA from 1 species
GACGAACGCUGGCGGCGUGCUUAACACAUGCAAGUCGAGCGGUAAGGCCCUUUCGGGGGUACACGAGCGGCGAACGGGUGAGUAACACGUGGGUGACCUGCCUUUAGCUCUGGGAUAAGCCUGGGAAACUGGGUCUAAUACCGGAUAUGACCCUAUGGCGCAUGUUGUGGGGUGGAAAGCCUUGUGCGGCUAGGGAUGGGCCCGCGGCCUAUCAGCUUGUUGGUGGGGUGAUGGCCUACCAAGGCGACGACGGGUAGCCGGCCUGAGAGGGCGACCGGCCACACUGGGACUGAGACACGGCCCAGACUCCUACGGGAGGCAGCAGUGGGGAAUCUUGCGCAAUGGGCGAAAGCCUGACGCAGCGACGCCGCGUGAGGGAUGACGGCCUCGGUUGU